UUGCCAUGUUGGUCCUAACUACAAAACUAACAUCCUAAAUAUAUCUUACUUCAUCUGUCAACAUUAUAAGGUGGAUUUCUCCUCAUGCAGCCCUGAGGAAACAGGAUGCAAGCUCUUCCCCCAAACUCAAGGAUGUGGGGGACCUUUGACUGACCUGCUCCCACAUAGACCUGAUCUCCUGGCUCCUGACCUCGGCUUUGACUUGACCUGACUUCUCUUGCUCCUGCACAGACAUGACUUCUUGGCUUCUGACCUCAGCUUGUUACAGGACCCGACAUACCUUCCUCCUGAAUAGACUUGAAUUCUUGGCUUCUGACUUGACCUCAGUUUACAUCUUGCUUUCCAAAUCACACAAGAAGCACCACACAAGGAAUCCUCUGGCAUUCUUAGGUACACAAAACAUUGAGAGUGACCCAGCAUUAAAAAGGUCUUUCUCUUGCCUUCUCUCUAAACAUAGCUGGUGGAAAAUGCUAACAAAACAACAGAGAAAAGCAUCAAGCACCUGCUUUCACAUAGCUCCUCUGGCCAUUUGACAGGCACCCAUCUGUCCAGCAUAGGCCUGGCUGCUUCCAUGCUCAUACCCAGAACCAGCUGUACUUCAUAUCCAGAAGAUGUCAGAGUGCUGCUUGCCUCCAGUCUAAUUUGGUUUCAGGAGAACACUAUGAGUGAGGACAGAAGGAGGAAGCAAUUCUUCCCAUGUGGGAAGGAUGGAAGAGAAAUAGCACUGAAAAAAGAAAAAUGGCUGUGGCAGCAGAGAGAAUGAUCUUUGCUAUUGUAGGAUAUCACACACACACACACACACACACACACACACACACACACACACACACACACACACCCCUCCUGUAAAUGAGGCAGAUUAUUCCGUGGUUUAAAUUCAAUAGUGCAUGAUUUAGUAAACUUCAUUUCCAUCUUCAUAAUGGUUAAUGAACUCAAUAAGAACUUGCUUGCCUAGUCCCUCAUUAUCCAAAUCCUGUUCACAAACCUCUCUGUUAUCUGUCAUAAUGCUACCACAACCCAUGUAAUAUAUGGGACACUUGUCCAUAUAGUGCCCUUUAAUUGUUAGUUUUUGAGGGUUGCCCAAUUACUGCUAGGCACUGAAUGCCACUGUUUUACCUUUCGGUUAUGGUUCAUGUGUUGGAAGUCCCAUGUUGAGGAUUUCUGUAAUCAGAAUGGCAAGAAUCUACAUGUAUGAAUUGAGAACUACAAUUGCCAUUAUCAUCUGAUUGAGCCAGUCAAAAUUACAUAUAUAUUAAAACUUUAAAUAUUAUCUAUACUCUAGGAUGUUACUUUUCUUUUAAUCUGUGAGCUUCCUUGCUACUGUUUUUCUUCUGACAAUGUGUUCUUUAAUAAAAAGGAUUAGAAUGUAAA